rnacentral:rRNA from 1 species
AUUGAACGCUGGCGGAAUGCUUUACACAUGCAAGUCGAGCGGCAGGACGGGGGCAACCCUGGUGGCGAGCGGCGAACGGGUGAGUAAUACAUCGGAACAUGCCCAGUCGUGGGGGAUAACACUUCGAAAGAAGUGCUAAUACCGCAUACGUCCUGAGGGAGAAAGCGGGGGAUCGCAAGACCUCGCGCGAUUGGAGUGGCCGAUGUCAGAUUAGCUAGUUGGUGGGGUAAAGGCCUACCAAGGCAACGAUCUGUAGCUGGUCUGAGAGGAUGAUCAGCCACACUGGGACUGAGACACGGCCCAGACUCCUACGGGAGGCAGCAGUGGGGAAUUUUGGACAAUGGGGGCAACCCUGAUCCAGCCAUUCCGCGUGAGUGAAGAAGGCCUUCGGGUUGUAAAGCUCUUUCGGCAGGAACGAAACGGCGAGCUCUAACAUAGCUUGCUAAUGACGGUACCUGAAGAAGAAGCACCGGCUAACUACGUG